AUGCGGUCUUCUUGAUUUAUGAUUUUGGUUUUCGCGGAGGAGGUUGUCCCGGAUGCGGAAGAAAGUAAGUAUUGUAAAGAUUGAAGUUAAAGAUGCUUAAUGGAUAUGGGUUGCUUUGGUUAAAUGCGGAUAAUGGUAUUGGUAAUAGGACCCAUAGUGACCCCUUUGAACUAUCGGCUCUUUGUACACUUGUUAUGUCUUUUGGAGAAUUAUUAUGAUGUCUAGUGUUGGACUCGAGUUUUUGGGUAUUUCAAAUGGGUCGUUUUGUAGUUGUAAUGUAUUGAUUUUGUUUAAACGUGUUUUGGAGAAACUCAUAAUCCGUAACAGGUUUGGAUGAUGAUUUUACGAA